ensembl:lncRNA
AGUCUUGGGUAAGUGUCGUCAAGGAAAAUCUCCAACUUCUGGGUAAACAAGUUGCCGCGUGAGGACGCCGGCACGUGUCCUCUACAGCUCUGAGAUCGCUCAGCCUAUGAGAAAGCUUAGGGGGCAGGACUGGCAUUUGCGUUACCGAUCUAGGCUGGUCGGGGUUGACCCCAGAAACCAAUAAGAACUUCAGAAUUGGGUGCGGGGGUGGCUUCCGCUCAGACUUCCAAUCAAUGCGCUUGGGGCGGCCCCUCCCGCACGUGUAUCUAGCACUACCGGUUGUCAUGCAGACCAAUGGAAAGAUGACUGAGACCCGAGUUCCCAAUGGAAGCUUUGCGGGGGCUGAGCGGCUGCACGCGGCACGGGGCAUGGGUUGGCAUCUCUAAACCAAUAAACUUUGGGGGCGUGGCAUCUCGGACGGUAGGCGGACCUGGAGUAGCUACCGCAGUUCCAGUCGUGAAGAAAUCUGGUUUUUGCUUGCACUCCGAGCGGUGAGUGAGGAGCGGGGAGAGUUGAGAGGUGAUCGAUAAGUGUUUUCCCUGGAUUGUGUGGGCGUUAGAAGGGGUGUUAAUGGAGUGAAGAGAUCAUGCAAACGUGCGAUCGUCCAGAGUGUUGGACCAGAAACCCUCAGCGACCUGAAGGAGCUGGAGCCCCUGCUCCUGGGGAGGUACUGGGAGCUGGUGGGUGUGCCGGUCCGUGGCUGAGGUUUGAGAAGGCACCUUAAGUACUUGGAAGAGGCAGAAGUUCAGAGGCUGGAGGGACACUCUGGUAGGACAGGUAGGAGGGUACAAAAGUGUUGGCGUGGGAUUUAAGAAAGUGAUGUGCGACUUGGGUGAUGCAGAGCCAGCCUCAUCAUGGCUCUGGAUGUCUUUCUUAUGUGUAAAGGGGAUGAUUUGGGUCUCAGAGACAGGGGAUAGCAAUUGUUGGGUUCUGAGAAGGAUAGGGUAUGCUAUGCACACCUGUUCCUAAGCUGCUGGUGGUGGGGAGGCACUUGUAUCUAUACAAUCAGGUCUGUGUUAAAGUGGCCUGGGAUAAGGUAGAACAGUGAAGUGAGGUUCCUAGGAAAUCACUGGGGCUAGGGGCUCCUAGGGUGAUCUCAAGGACUUUGUGAACAUCGGAAGAUGGGCCAUGAUGAGUGUAUGGGGAGUACAAAGAGUCUCAAGUCAGCCCAAGGGGGAGAGAGGUUGGAUGGAGUCUGUGUUCCAGGCAUCAAACUUGGAAUCAGCUGGUUAUUUGGGAGGGCCAGGUCUGCCAGUGCUGGAAUGCAGCUUAGAGGUUGGGUAACACCUCACGGAUUCCUGAAGGGUAUGAAGCCAAAGACAAGCCAUCAUUAGAGCUCAGAUAUGAACCUUGGGCCCCAUUUGUUAUGAGGCAGAUAAUUCAGGUAAGUUUAAUAACUUCUGAGCCUUAGUUGUCCUCCAUGGAAUAGGGUCAAUAAUACCCAUCUUGAAGGAUUAUUCUGGGAAUUAAAUAAAAUUAAGGUAUGCUAAGUGCUAAGCACAAUGCUGGGCCAUUAAGAAUGACUGGGGUAAGAGAUUUAUGUGAAUGCUGUGGCUGGGAACUGUUCUCACAUUGACAUGUUUUUCUGCAAGUAUUGAUGGUUCCCCAGUUCCCUCUUCCUGCUUCUUUUGGUCUUUAGGCACCAGCCCAAAUUCCCUCAUUCCUCCCCUCUAUCUCUCUCUGAGGAUCCAGGUCCUAGACUGGGCUACUUGCUUUAUCCUAGUUUGAUUUCCUUAUCCCCUACCUAGACCAUUCUUGGGCUGCCUCCCCCUGCUCUCCACUCCCCGAAUUGUAACCAGAGAUUUGGGCUCUGAAGGGGGCCUCUGGGAGGGAGCAAAGGUGUGUGUUCUUUCGCAGAACCCUGAGCCUCCAACUUCCCCGCCCUGGCUCUUUGGUACUGGGCCAGCACCAGUGUACAGUUUGGGAGCGGGGAAAGACCGUGCCAGGAACCGUAGGAACGAAUGGAAGGGCUGGCAGAUGCCUCCCGAAGAGGGCCUGGCAAGGGGCCCGGGGGAGGAACCCCUUCCCCAAUCUUUUCUCCAGGAAUCUCUGGCUUUGGGACAGGUUGGCUGUAGUUAGGUUGGGGGAGGUGUCCAGGCUGAGUGCAUGUCCUGGGCCACCAGCCAAGAGAACACGACGUUCCCAAGUGCGCUGGCCGCCGCCCUCUCGGGCUGGCCGCCUCCCAAACCGCUGCCUCUCCAACCUCCCCUGCCCCACAUUCCCUGGUUGCCUCGACCCGCCUCCUUCCUCUGCUUUGACGUCACCGUUGUCUCCCGCCCCCUCUCCUCCUUUGACGGCAGCAGAGCCUGGUUACUGUGGGGACAGUGAGGCAGGACGACCUGGGCCUUAGGAGUGGGUGGAGACUGCUGGAGCUCAGCACCUUUUUUUCUACGUAAAAGACAGAUCUGGAGGUGGGCGAGCAAGGACUGCCUGGGUCAGGGGAGUUCACACCUAAAUUCCCCAAGGAGAGCUGGGGAGGAGAAAAACUGUUUCCAGAGAAGAGGUUCUGGAAAUGACACAAGGAUAGAUCCACAGUAUAUGGGGGUGGGUUGGGGAGGACAGCAUCAGUUUCAAGGAGAUUGAGAAUCAGGCUCCUGUAUCCUUUGUUUUGUUUUCUUGCUUCGGUUUUUCUGGGUUAUUUUAUAACACUCCUGUGUCCCAGCUUUUCCACAGAGCGGCCCCCGUCCCUCUCACCCACCCAAGGGAAACACCAUUGUUAAGGAAAGCUUAGGCCACGUGACAGGGAGGGGCAGGCACUCACAUCUGACUGUGUUAGCAGUUGCCUGGGACUUGCUUCACCUGCUACCCACAGUUCCAUGAAUCCCUGGGAGGAACUACUGUACUUAAUACUGACUGGAUGAAGGAGCUGUGUAACAGUUCUCCUGGUUGCAAGCGGGCACUUUAUUCCCCCAAAUCAAGCCUCUAUUCUCCUUUUAGGGCUCAGUGCUCUGCUCUUUCCUUCUUUAAAGAAAUGACAAUUUUCAGACCCCCUCUGCACCUCUGAGCCUCAUUCCUUACCUCCUACACCUAUCCAUUUUACAUACAAAAUUAUCAUUUUGUCAUGUUUAUCAAUCACCUAUCAUGUGUUGAGGUCCUGUUCUGAGCACUACAGAGUACAGUGACUAGGAGAUGAAGUCCCAACUGGGCCCCCAAAUCUUUUCCUUUUUUCAAGCAGUGGGGAUCACACCCCUCCCCCUUCUCUGUCUAGGGCUCCAGCUGGCCUCUUGUCUUUGCUGCCCCCUUCCUCCCUCUAUAGCCCUAGCUUUCUGGCCCUCUCUUUUGGGGCAGUCCUAAGUGUGGGUGGCUCUGUGGAGAGAAGCACUAGUCACUAUGUAGCCUGCGGGGAGACCUAUUCUCCGAUUGGCUGUGGAAACACCUGUCAUUGUUUCCCUUCACAACCUCCAUUGGCUCUGGCUGCCCCUUCCGUUGUCUGUAUUCUCCCUCCACCCACUCACCCUCCAGUCACACGUGGAC